UACGUAGGGUGCAAGCGUUGUCCGGAAUUACUGGGCGUAAAGAGCUCGUAGGUGGUUUGUCGCGUUGUUCGUGAAAACUCACAGCUUAACUGUGGGCGUGCGGGCGAUACGGGCAGACUAGAGUACUGCAGGGGAGACUGGAAUUCCUGGUGUAGCGGUGGAAUGCGCAGAUAUCAGGAGGAACACCGGUGGCGAAGGCGGGUCUCUGGGCAGUAACUGACGCUGAGGAGCGAAAGCGUGGGGAGCGAACAGG
rnacentral:rRNA from 1 species